UACGAAGGGGGGCUAGCGUUGUUCGGAAUUACUGGGCGUAAAGGGCGCGUAGGCGGGAUGGCAAGUCAGUCGUGAAAUCUCUCGGCUCAACCGAGAAACGUCGGCUGAUACUGCCGUUCUUGAGGGAUGCAGAGGAGACUGGAAUUCCCGGUGUAGCGGUGAAAUGUGUAGAGAUCGGGAGGAACACCGGUGGCGAAGGCGGGUCUCUGGGCAUCUCCUGACGCUGAGGCGCGAAAGCGUGGGGAGCAAACGGG
rnacentral:rRNA from 1 species